rnacentral:rRNA from 1 species
ACGUAGGGUGCAAGCGUUGUCCGGAUUUACUGGGCGUAAAGAGCGCGUAGGCGGUCUGCUAAGUGAGAAGUGAAAUCUUCAGGGCUCAACCCGAAAAUUGCUUUUCAUACUGACAGACUGGAGGAAUGCAGAGGUAUGUGGAAUUCCAGGUGUAGCGGUGAAAUGCGUUGAUAUCUGGAGGAACACCCAUGGCGAAGGCAGCAUACUGGGCAUUAUCUGACGCUGAGGCGCGAAAGCGUGGGUAGCAAACAG